rnacentral:lncRNA from 1 species
CUAAAGGAAUUGACAAAGGGAUUGUGACCUGAUGCUUCACAAUGAGAACCCUGUUGUGAUUAAAUGGUUAAGUUGAAAGUUAAUGGAAGCUGCAAAGUGUUUGCCUUCUGUAUCUGCAAUGGAAACUCCACCUGCUGUCUUCUUGGUGUUUUUGUUCCUUGUCUUUAAGACCUGGUCUCAAAUUCAGAAGUUCAAUACCAGCGUCAGUUUGACUUGACACAAUCUAUGGUUGUAGUGUAUUGAUUUCACAAAUUGAACCUAUGAAAUGAAACUCUGUCAUCAAGAAGCUAUUGGACACCUAUAUGGACAUGCAUUUACCUCUCUGUCCAGUGCAAUUAAUUAUAAAUGUCUGUGGAAGAAUAGAGAGAGGAGGGAGGAAAGGAAGAGUAGAUUGUUCUGUGUCUUUCAGAGAAGAAGCUGGAGGUCUAAGGAGGAGGACAGCCCACCAGUCGAUGAUGAGCAGGCACAUCUGCUGCACCGAGCAUCCCAUGGGUGGUGGUGAGUUGUGUGAUGAUUACUUCACAGGUGCAACAACCUCAUUAUUCAGGUACGUCAGGAAGUGCUAAGACAAUUCCCAGCAGAGCUAAAAGUGGAACUCAAGCAAUAGUAACUCAGCUGGUUACAUCAAAUUACAUGAGGUGUUUCU